rnacentral:rRNA from 1 species
CUACGGGUCGCAGCAGUGGGGAAUAUUGCACAAUGGGCGCAAGCCUGAUGCAGCCAUGCCGCGUGUAUGAAGAAGGCCUUCGGGUUGUAAAGUACUUUCAGCGGGGAGGAAGGGAGUAAAGUUAAUACCUUUGCUCAUUGACGUUACCCGCAGAAGAAGCACCGGCUAACUCCGUGCCAGCAGCGCGCGGUAAUACGGAGGGUGCAAGCGUUAAUCGGAAUUACUGGGCGUAAAGCGCACGCAGGCGGUUUGUUAAGUCAGAUGUGAAAUCCCCGGGCUCAACCUGGGAACUGCAUCUGAUACUGGCAAGCUUGAGUCUCGUAGAGGGGGGUAGAAUUCCAGGUGUAGCGGUGAAAUGCGUAGAGAUCUGGAGGAAUACCGGUGGCGAAGGCGGCCCCCUGGACGAAGACUGACGCUCAGGUGCGAAAGCGUGGGGAGCAAACAGGAUUAGAUACCCGCGUAGUC